ACAUGCAAAGAUGGUAUUGUAGCAUUGUAACCAGCUCCUGGGGGUCAAGUGAGUUACUCUUUGCUGAUCUCUCAGCUCUCUGCCUAACAUGGCAAACUGUAUGAACCUAACCUAUGAACCAACGUUGGUUCGGUUUCAAUAAGUAAAGGACUCUUCACUAUGCCUUGUUUAAGGUUAACCUUGCUUAUAAUCAUGGUCUAUUAAAAGGUGGUCUUUGACAACUGAGGCAAACACGAACACUAGAAAAUACACACACAGACAAACUUAGAGUUCCUUGGCAAAACCCAUUCCUUCCCUCACAUUUCACCUAUCUCAAAAUUGCAAGUUACCUUUGGAGCUUGCCAUAAUACUCUCCUGCCAAUCCUGACUGCACUCGGGGUUGUUUUGAAGGUAGAGUACUAUAUAAAUAAAAGACGAGGCCCUGCAGAUAACCAAGUGGAAAAGCACAGUUGCUGGCACUCAGAAUAUGAGGUAACCUCUUUUAAUUAGAAUGUACAAUUUUAGAUUACUGACUAUGAACAUCAUGGGACCUGAGAUUUUGAUUCAUCAGUAAUUCUCCUUUAUGUUUCACUAAGAUGUAAAAAUCAGACCUCUGCUCUCACACAGAUCUGGCUCCUCACAGAGCUACCGCUUUUACCUGUGAUCUCCAGUACUGCUCUGCCCCCUUGUGCUGCUGCGGUGAACUCGGCAUAGAACCGUGUGUCUUCCUCCUCCCGGAUGAACUACAGAAAAGCCCACUGUCACUUCUCACUUUUCUGGCAAGUUCAAGUCUCUACUGACAUCGGUGGUAGACUUUGAAGUUCGGAGCCAUUUCCAGGAGGCAUAUUGAGGGAAGAAGAAGUUGUUUCUGGGUCCUCUGAAUGGUUAUGGUGCUUUGAACACUCAUGAACACAGAGAAGAGAAGAUGACUGGAGCCCAGCUCAGGAGCAUUGAGAGAGCACAUGAGAAAGUUAAGAAACAGUAGCUUCCACUGGAGGAUGGUGCUUACUGAGUACUCACCACCUGUAUGAAGUACAGCCUUAAGAUUUGCCUCUGGGUUUACUGGGGCUAUGGAUGAAAAAGAUUUUGUCUUUCCAAAUCUCUGAUGUUGAAAAUGUAACCUCUAGGAGUGAGGUUAGGGGCUGUAGUUUGGGUAAGAACUUCUAUUAAAGCACACUUUAAUAGAGAAUAGCUCACUUCUUCUACCAUGUGAGGGCAUAACCAGAAGGCAGCAUCCGUGGGAAUGUUCCUCUCCAGAUUUUGAGCUUGGUCUUCCCAGUUUAUUUAUUUACUUUUUAGACUGCUGAGUUUAUGCCCAAACAGACAGGAAGAAUGGUAUUUUAUAUGCUAGCUUAAAAAGAAAUAAAUCACUGGGACAUGUUUUAGAUAUUAAGCAUUAAUAAAGAGACAGCACGAAAGGGUUAAUGGUAAGGAUUCAUAUUAUUACCUGGAUGAGAGAUAUCAAAGUCCUUGGUGAAGCAAGGAUAGCAGCUUCCUUGGUGGUGGAUCAGAGUUGUUCCUGGCUGGAAGGGAUAUUCUGUCUGACAUUACUGAGAAACUGACUGGAGUUCUAUGAGACCAGUCAGGUGUCAUGCUAUCACAAUGACCCACAGCAGAGAUGACUAAGGCAUGGACCAAACUGGAACAUGAAGAGAAGACAACAGCUAAAUUAUGGAAGGAGUUGGAAAACAGAUCGACCUGCAUUUCUGUCUUGAGCAGUCAAGGAUACAUCAGCUGUAGGUGCGAGAGAAAUGUCUUCAGAAGAGCAGGGUGGGCGCACUGAAGCACUGAGGCUUCACGUAGUGGGACUGACCUCUGAGAAGCUGUCUGUCCUCACAGCGCACUUAGCCAGAGUGCAGCUGGACAUGAAGGUGCGAGACUAGGGAAAAGAGCUGGGCUAACGGUGUCUCUCUGAAAGUCAGAAACAUUUAGCACUUGAUCGUGUGACUGGAUAUGGAAGUUUAGAGUGGUCACAGAAAAGAGAAAGGGUCAAGAUAGGUCCCAGUGCUCAACGUAAAGAUUGCAAAAGGAAAAAACAGCAACAGCAAAAGAGACACAUUUUACUUUAAGAAAGAGAAGAAGGAGGAGCUCAAAUUGAUUUUAGCUACAGAAUGGUGAAGGUCACUGUAGCCUUGAUAAAAAUAGGUCUUCUUGGAUAUGGGAGAAAGAAAUUUCAUUAUGCAGAGAUGCUGAGGUGGAUCAGGGAAUAAGGACACUUAGUGCCAAUUCUGAUGACCUAUGUUAGACCCAUGGGAUCCACGUGGUGAAAGGAGAUAAUCAAAUCUCAGAAAAUGUUCUCUGACCACUACACAUGCAUCUUAGUACAAGCAAACACAAACAUAAACACAUACAUAAACACACACACACACUCACACACAUGCACGUGCACACAUGAGCACACACAAACACCUGCCCACACGUACUUCGGAAAGGAAAAACCUAUUUUAAUAGAUAAAAAACAAGAGCUAUGACCAUGUUUUAAGGAACUUUUAUGUGUCAAGAAAUGUUAAAAAUGAGAGGAAGAUACGGUGCCCAAGAAAGAAAUGGAGCCACAGGGACUCAUUUUAUAUGUUUUUGCUUCUUUAGACUGGGAAAUGAACACAAGAAUACAGAAAAUGAGGACUGACAGGAACAAGAAACUCAGGAUACUUAGGAGGGAAAACAGGGAAUUGUGGGAAAUGUCCUCAGAAACGGGAGAGGUGCCUGUUUGGAACUAGGUAUUAGGGUAAGCCUUGGCCUUGGCUGCGAGUGUGAGAAGUCUCAGAAGCAGAGAUCUAGCUUGAGUUCCAGGGCAAAAUGAAGAAACACAGAGAUUUUUCCUGCCUGGAGCCACUAGAACUUCCCUUCUGAUUGUUGCAGCAUAGGAGAAUGGUAAGGAGAACUAAGAUUCCAGAAAAUGAGACAAAAAUGAGGUUUUCAGGAGGAAGGGGCAGGAGAACAGCACAGCAAUGUGAAAUUGUGUACUGUCAGGAACAUCCAGGCCAACCUGUGUCCUGGAGCUUGGACACAGGGUCUUGCAGAGAUGUUCAAAAUGACCUAGGGAGGUUCUCUGAGGAUCAUAGUAGGACUUGGGAAUUCUGUGUGUUUUUAAGUACCGGCAUUUGAAAAAAAUGUGUGCAUAUGUGAUAAAAUUUUGAUUUCUUAUGCAAGAGUGGAUUACAAACAUCAGAAUCAGAUAUUGAUAGGAAGAAAAUUGUAAUCAUUCUCACAAACUAGGGUUAUACCCUUAUGCGGGGAAGAAACUGUAUGUACCCAGUCUCUCAUUUUGAUUUUCAAGGCUGAAGUCAAAGCUGGGCUAAUUUUAAUGAUUCAGUGAACAGAGGACCAGUUGUUGCUAUGACACAAAACAAGCAACUUGGUGGAGCAGUGACUCCAAGGAGAGGAGGCAGUGUUUUGAGCUUCAUGUGUAGACAUUGAUAAUUAAUGGUAAUGAGAGGAAAGGGGAACAGACCAAGGUGGGGAAGUGUGACAUUUCUGAUAAGACAACGUGUGAUACAGGACCUGGAACUACUUAGGCGUUUAACCCGAGGGCUGAGAUUCAGAGAAAGAAAAAGAGAAGUAGAGGCAACGUUGAGUUUGCUUAGGCAUCUGAGUUAUAACUGAAGUGUUUAUGUGUCUUAAAGCAGAGAGCAAACAGGUAUCACACAGAGUCUGAAACGUCAAGGCAAGAAGAGGGACUUAUGGGUAUUGUAGAAGUUCCUAAGCUGUGCAGCAGCAAUUUAAAGAUAAGAGCAUGCGACUCUGUCAUGUUUCAUCCCCCACUGCCAUCAAAGCAAGGCUACUGCACCUUGAUAUAUUGUAUUCAUCUUGCAUGUUUGCGUUUUAUAUCAAGAAAGGCUCUACUCAUGUAAUUUAUUUAAAUGUUUACAAAGUAAAAUUCUUCAGAGGCAACUCUAGCCUCAGAAUGGCUUCUUAAGGCCUCAGGGCCGUGGGUCAUGUACACCGGUCAGGUCUCAAAAACCAUGGGUCUGCCUUCUGCGCCCCGGGCGUCAUUUUGAGAAUUCUAAAUAUUUCACUCUCGGAUGAGAGAAGCAGAAGCAGCAAGAGGUGUAUUUACGAGACGACGUUCCGUAGGUCAGUGGCAACGAAAGCUGUGGUGAAAACUUCCUGUUGCAGCAACACUCCCUUCUGAGAGGAUGCUCUCUGCCUGCACAGGCAAAGCUAUUAAAGCAUACAUUAAUGCCAAGCUCAUAAUCAAGCCACCUCUGAAAUGAAGCUGCCUCUCAGAGUGACAGGGUCUAUGGAAAUCACCAGCUAACUGAGCCAAGUUGAAAGGAACGCAACCCCCGGGCCAGAGAGUUUCAAAUCAGCAAGGGAAGGAGGACGUGGCUCCAAGGCUCACUGAAGCCAUGAGGUAGAAGCCAUUGCUGCCUUGAAUCCGGACCAUAGAGUGUCUACAACUGCAACAAAAGAGGAACUUAAAAUAGACAAAACCAGGAAAGCUUCUGAUCUUGAGGCAGAGCAAAAGUUGAAGAGAAACUGAAAAUGAGUUCUUGCUGAGGCGCUAAAAUUACAAUCACUGGUCUCAUAUUGAAACCCAAUGGUAGACUCCAAUGUUAAACAGCUUUCAAGGCAGGGAAACCUCUCUGUCCUUUUCCAGAAGCAGAUGAGAAGUGGCCACCACGAAUCAGUGCUCAGCCGUCGUCCCCAACCCCAGCACUAGUAGGUGUGAGUCCAGUGUAAAAAUGCACUCUUAGCGAGAAACUGUCAACCUUUCCCAAGGCCUGUAGUAAAAAACAAACAAACAAAGAAACAAACAAACAAAAAAACAAAAGCAAACAACUAAAAAUCCCAAACACA